rnacentral:lncRNA from 1 species
CCGCAGCAGGCACCGCUCGCUCCAGCUGCAAAAAGGUUUCAGAUGUCCCACCACUGCCUGACCCCCUGCAAAUAAGGGCUGACCACCAGAGGCACAUCCCACCUCUGACUUGUAAUCGCUGACAUUUAGGCUACAGCUUCCAACCUGUUUACAACCAAAGGGGGAGGGAAAGGAAAGGAAAGGAAGGGCGGGGGGGACAAGUUGGGAUUUCUCCCUCUCCCUUUCUCUCGGGAUUUUUUUUUUUUUUUUUAAUACUGUUCUGGAGAAUUCAAGGCAAAACAAAGAAACUUCCUCCUCUGGGGUUGUCAGUGAGAAAAGGAAGAGUUGUGCAACUGGUUUGGGAUUUGCAAAAAGGCAAGAGGGUGGGGAUCAGAAGAAGGUGCAAAGCCACAAAGUACCUUUCUGCAUCUAAGAUGGUGAAGAAAGGAGUGAGGAAGAGAACAAAAUAACUACUGGAAAGUCUCAAACCAGUGCGGGGAGACACGUGCGGAGCUACAAUCACCUCCAAGGAGACGUGCGCAAGAGGAAGCUCUAUUCUUACAACAAGUACUUUCUCAAGAUCGAGAAGAACGGCAAGGUCAGCGGCACCAAGAAGGAGAACUGCCCGUUCAGUAAGUACGGCUCUGCCGCCGCGC